UACGGGGGGAGCAAGCGUUUGUUCGGAUUUACUGGGCGUAAAGGGCGCGUAGGGCGGUCAGCACAAGUCAGUUGUGGAAAUCUCCGGGCUUAACUCGGAAAGGUCAACUGAUACUGUGCGACUAGAGUGCGGAAGGGGCAACUGGAAUUCUCGGUGUAGCGGAUGAAUGCGUAGAUAUCGAGAGGAACACCUGCGGCGAAGGCGGGUUGCUGGGCCGACACUGACGCUGAUGCGCGAAAGCCAGGGGAGCGAAGGGG
rnacentral:rRNA from 1 species